rnacentral:lncRNA from 1 species
AGACAAGGCUUUAUUAUUAAGAUAGAAGAAUUAUUAUGUCUGAUUAAAUCAAACUUUUGGCAGGUGCAGAUGAAAACUGAGAUCUCAGAGAGGAUUGGCAACAAGCCUUGGGAGUUGAGCCCAUUUAAGAUAGGCCUCAUUAAGCAAAGUUUCAAAGGCACUGAAGAAAAAGUCUAAACCCUGAGGAUGUAUAAGAAGGUCAGAAAACAAAGCUACUGUGAGAAGUGCUAGCUACAGUGAGAAGUGCUAGCUAGUGACAGAGUGAGAAGUAUGUUGAAUUGUUUGUGAGAGGGAUUUCUCCCUCCAGAGGAAUCUUCUGUCUCUCUGUUGACUGUGUCCAUGGUGGACUGCACCAGACAUUGACAUCCCUAACACAGGCUGGAGUGCUGCAAUGUGAAGUCUGCAGGAUGGAGGCGUUUCCUGAGUGCUGGUAUGCAAUCAGAUGCUCCGACCAUCUGGUUUGCCUCAGCAUGCUUGAAGUAGACAGCUAGUGCUAUCACC